rnacentral:tRNA from 1 species
AUAGUUAAGCAUCUCCCUUACACCGAGAAGACAUCCAUGCAAAUUGGAUCGCCCUGAGCUAAAUAGCUAG